rnacentral:rRNA from 1 species
GCGUAAAGCGCACGCAGGCGGUCUGUCAAGUCGGAUGUGAAAUCCCCGGGCUCAACCUGGGAACUGCAUUCGAAACUGGCAGGCUAGAGUCUUGUAGAGGGGGGUAGAAUUCCAGGUGUAGCGGUGAAAUGCGUAGAGAUCUGGAGGAAUACCGGUGGCGAAGGCGGCCCCCUGGACAAAGACUGACGCUCAGGUGCGAAAGCGUGGGGAGCAAACAGGAUUAGAUACCCUGGUAGUCCACGCCGUAAACGAUGUCGAUUUGGAGGUUGUGCCCUUGAGGCGUGGCUUCCGGAGCUAACGCGUUAAAUCGACCGCCUGGGGAGUACGGCCGCAAGGUUAAAACUCAAAUGAAUUGACGGGGGCCCGCACAAGCGGUGGAGCAUGUGGUUUAAUUCGAUGCAACGCGAAGAACCUUACCUGGUCUUGACAUCCACAGAACUUUCCAGAGAUGGAUUGGUGCCUUCGGGAACUGUGAGACAGGUGCUGCAUGGCUGUCGUCAGCUCGUGUUGUGAAAUGUUGGGUUAAGUCCCGCAACGAGCGCAACCCUUAUCCUUUGUUGCCAGCGGUUAGGCCGGGAACUCAAAGGAGACUGCCAGUGAUAAACUGGAG